rnacentral:lncRNA from 1 species
GCAACUUGCAAUGCUAAGGCUGGAGGAUCACAUUUGAGGCCAGCCUCAGCAACUUGGUAAUCUUAAAAUAAAGGUUGGGAUGUGGCUCAGUGGUAAAAAAGCACCCCUGGGUUCAAUCUCUAUUACAAAAAAAAAAAAUGUGGGGUGGAUGCAGCCCAAGGAAGCUUGGAGGAGAGGGGCAGGUUUGCCCAACAUGGAGCCAAACCAUGGACCAGCUAUGAUCUAAUACCAGGAAAAGGGACUGGAUCGAGAUGCUCUGAAAGAGGCCACACUUAAACCUGGGAAAGAAGACAGCGGCCUCAGGGCUACAUGAUAGGAUGCUGAGGGUUAAGGGAGAAUAUGCAAUCACUUUCCAGGGAAGUCCUGGCCUGACACAGCUCCAUUUGGGUACCUUGGCUUCCAACUAUAUAUAUUUUUAAUGUUUCUACAAUUGUUAUAAUGUUUAUUGUCAAAUUGAAACAUUCAGAAGAACUCAAUGAAAAAAUUUAAAUAACCACAACCACUUGAAAUUUCUAUGUAUUUACUUGCAGGGUUUUUUUUUUUUUCUUUUGUGUGUGUACAUAUAUGUUGUGUAUAUUAUGGUUUUAUAAAAAUAAGGUCCUUUGCUGGUUGCGGUGGCACACACCUGCAAUCCUAGCAGUUUGGAAUGCUGAGGCAGGAGGAUCACAAGUUCCAAGGCCAGCCUCAGCAACUUAGUGAGGCCCUAAGCAACUGGAUAAAAAUAAAAAAUAAGAAAGGGCUGGGGAUGUGGCUCAAUGGUUAAGUACCCCUGGGUUCAAUUCAAGGUACCAAAUUUAAAAAUAAAGUCCUCUGGCAUGUAUUAUUUGUAACCUGGUUUUUAAAAUUUCAUGUUAUAUUACAAAUAG